GGAGGGCGGCAAGGAGGAUGAGUACGAGCUGGCCGACUUUGAAGGCGACGAGCCGCUGGUCAAGCUCAAGAAGAGCGGGAAGGACAAGAAGGGAGUGGGCAAGGAGAAGCGCGCCUCCGGGGCCGGGUUGAAAGCCAAAUCCAGCAAGGAACCCUCGCCAAAGAA
rnacentral:ribozyme from 1 species